rnacentral:rRNA from 1 species
AGCAGCCGCGGUAAUUCCAGCUCCAAUAGCGUAUAUUAAAGUUGUUGCAGUUAAAAAGCCCGUAGUUGAAUUUCGGGAUCAAUUUGCUGGUCGUGCCUUCGGUACGCACUGGUAUUAUUGGUUUCUCCUUUCUGAUGAAUCGCGAUGUCAUUAAUUUGGUGUCGUGGGGAAUCAGGACCGUUACUUUGAAAAAAUUAGAGUGUUUAAAGCAGGCUCACGCUUGAAUACAUUAGCAUGGAAUAAUGAAAUAGGACGUUUGAUUCUAUUUUGUUGGUUUCUAGGAUCGACGUAAUGAUUAAUAGGGAUAGUUGGGGGCAUUAGUAUUCAAUUGUCAGAGGUGAAAUUCUUGGAUUUAUUGAAGACUAACUACUGCGAAAGCAUUUGCCAAGGAUGUUUUCAUUAAUCAAGAACGAAAGUUAGGGGAUCGAAGACGAUCAGAUACCGUCGUAGUCUUAACCAUAAACUAUGCCGACUAGGGAUCGGAUGAUGUUAAUUUUUAAUGACUCAUUCGGCGCCUUAA